AGACUCAACUCGCGCUGCCGGCUUUGCUACUUCAAGUGUCAUUUUCCACAACCAGCUGCCGUGAAGAUGCCAAACCCACCAAGACUGCGCUGCCCCACCUCUCCGAGGCUGUCCUGGGAGUGCGGGUGACCCGCGAGCUCCAGAAUCUUUCCUUAAGGUGGAGCCACAGCGCCACCUCGCGAUCCUCCAGCUUCCCUCCCUCAUGGCCACGGAAGGCUGGCCCUUUCUGGUCCAAGCCCCCAGGGUCCCACACUUACUGGUUUUCCAUGCACUUUCAUUAUUUCCCUUUCUCUCUCUUCAAUGUUCCCUUAUCCUGAGUAUUGAGGUCCCCAAACGCGCCUUUCUACCCCACGUUUGGACAUAGCCGGAAUGUCUACCUCCUUCUCCAUCCGGUGAAGCACUGCUCCCCCUAAAAUCACCAGCUCAAAAGUCACCUCUAUGAAACCUUUUUAGACUUUUCCAACGCAGUCAUUCGUGCCUUUCCCUGGUUUCCCUACUGCUCGCAUCACAUUGGACAGGAAAUGCUAUUUAAACGUUUUUCUCCUCUCCCUAAUCAGGGAGCUCCUCUGAGAGGAGCCAUGGCUGUCCUUGCUUAUUCAACAAUAAAACCUAGUAUAUAUCAAGUGCAUACUAUGGAGCGUUUAAUGCACUGUACUGUGCAAAAACAUAUUGUCUUAUUUCAUUUUCCCAGCAAAAUCAUGAGGAAAGCACGAAUAUUGUUUCCCAUUUUGCAGAUGAAGAAACUGAGGUUAGAGAAAAUAAGUACCCAUCCAAGGUAGCAUUGCAGAGCCUCAUCCAAGUCAGCCUGUCGGAUGCCAGAGCCAACUUUUCUUAACCUCUGACUUGCAGACUUAUUCAGCUGUAUAUCCGUGGGCUUUGUGAUAGGAAAAGACACAGAAUGAGUACUUGUGUGUUUAUGAAUAAAUGUAUCUUUUAAAUUAUUUCUUCUCCUAGAGAGUUGGGUGUGGGAAGGCACUGCA
rnacentral:lncRNA from 1 species